rnacentral:misc_RNA from 1 species
CAUAGUGUAACAUAACGAUGACUUCGGAACGUUAAAAAUUCCCUCUUCAACACUAAAAAGGGAAGAAACGCAUGGGUCAGAAAAAUCGUUCGAAUAUUUCCAUCGAUCUGAUUCGAGAUGUCUUAUCGUCGCUAGUUCGUCACUCGAUAACGAGUUUCCGACACAUUAAAUAAAAGAACCUGAAAUCGUGUAUUAAUAAAAAUGGAGUAUGGUUUAUUAUUUAGAUGCAAUUAUGAAGACUUAGGAGAAGCGUCAAAUGUUUAAUAGAAGAGUUUAGAAGUGUCUGUUGGAUAUAAUGGAUUUAUUAUCGGUUCAACAUUGUUUCGGAGAAAGCUAAGGUGAAUGUUAGAUAAGGCGGGAUUAAAAGCACGAUAAGCAGGAGCUGCGGAAUAUAUACGGAUUAUUUGAAAAUUUUAAUACGUUAUUGGAGAAGUGAGUUUCAUUUGUGAUAUUGAGAAUAUUAUGGCUCAUAUCGUCCUUUCCCGCUCGAAAUGUUGCAUAAUGAAUAAUACUAUAUGGAAUUUAUGAGAUACAGUAAAUGGAACGUUUUAUAAAAAUAAUGACAUAAAAUAUUACAUAACUACUGAUCUAUCGACAUUUAUUUACUUUAUUUAUUUCG